CAAUGCUGUGUAUUUUUGCCUCAACAUCGGUUAGUUUUAAAACCGAUGCAGGCUACCUUAUAUUUUUUUCUCAUCAAUUUUCACACUAAUAUCGCGCCAUUCCUUUUCCUCCAUUGAUGGCUCCUUCUCUCUAUCGCCCAAAACCCUCCAAGGCCAUGCCGGUGAACAUUGCAUCACUAUCCAUCCACCAGAGAAACUCCACUUCAGGGUGAGACAGCAAGAGCUUCCGAAUCAACGGAAGCUUGGCCCAAAACCCUGCCAUCUCAGCGUCCAGAAGAGCCAUGUUGUAGAAAAUCUCAAUCCUGUGGACCUUGCAGUAGUCAAUCUUGUUCUUGAUCGAUUUGACAAGGUAGUGGUCUCCAACCGGGUUUUCACACGGUUUCGGGAACGAACCGGUUACAAGGAGGACGCGGGGUUUGUUGGGUCUGAUGAAGUUGUUGUUGAAAUUGGAAAUGGAUUCGGAUUAUUAUUCAGGUUUGGUUUCUUUGAGGACGCGGCGAGCGCGGGCAGCAGAGAGGUGGUGGCGGAUCUCGUUGAAGUCCUGCUCCGGCGUGCGAACUUGCCGACGCCGAUGGUGCCGCGGAGGACAACCAACGUGAGGAAGAGGCAGAGGAACGUCACCGUGCUGUGGCGGCACGCGCGCUGCAUCUGCCGGACGCGCCGAGGUCCCAGACACCGCUCCAGCAUUGCUGUUCACUGAGUUGACUCAGUUGAAUCUGACGAGUUUAUUGCCUUUUCUGUUCCGCAUCCCUCUCCUCUUAAUUAUCUAUACAGGAUGAUUCGUACAUCGAAAGCUACAUAAGCACCAUUGGAGUUGAUUUUAAAAUACGUACCGUUGUGCAGAUCAGCCAUUAUUUAAGAAUUCUAAGGAGACAAAAUUUCAUCUCUUCCUGAUGAGACGUUGCCAUAUUUCUUCAGAAGAUUAGCAUGGUCUCCUGAUGGUUCAUUUCUACUUGUGCCCGCAGGUAUUUGGUUUGAGCAGUAGUAGAUCAUGAUUCAAUUAAUCUUACUUUUUGCACUAGUUCCAUGGAUGAGCUUUUGUCACUGCAUGCAGAGAUUCUUUUAGAAUCUGGCCAGCACUUGAAUAUUUCAUAGUUUAUCAUCUUUUAUCUUACAAGGAAGUGGACGAGUCUGGUCAAAGGAGAUUGAAUUGUUGAUUUUUGUAUUGUUGGUUGCAUUCUGAUGUCUGGACUGUUUUUAAAAUCAAUAGAUAUUUUCAACUUAUUGGUUGAAUCAUAUCUAUUGAUUUCUUCUUUUGAGGCCUGAAUUCCUGCAUAGCAUUUACCAUAUGCUCAGUUUCUUACUGAUAAGUUUAUGUCUCACUUUACCUAUUCCAAGCUCUUACAAAAUUAGUACUGCAUCUAAAUCUGUGAAUGCGGCUUACAUAUUUUCUAGAAAAGAUCUUUCUAGGUAAAAUUUCAGUUGUAUAAAUUCAAAAAGCUUAUAUAAAUUCAGCUGUAUAAAUUUGAA